CACCCAGUCAGGCCGGGGCAGACCGGGCAGGAGACAGAAAGGACGGCGUAUAUUCACAUCAAGCUAACUCUGUGAACCAAGGAUUUAUUUCACCCAGACUAGAGUCGACGUUCCAGGUAGUUACUUGAGCCCAGGACACAAGAUUAACCUAAGACGAGUUUGACAAAUGUCAGCAUUUCCCUCAACCUCUAUGGAGGCCGAAAAAUGACGUGGUCCUAACCUAUUCUCAUGGAGGAUUGGUCACAGUAGUGCCUACAGAAGACAAGAGGUCCCAAACAAAGAGCCCAGCCUAAAGGAUUUCAAGGACAGAUGGCCUGCACUAUUCAAUCAAAGAGAGAUCAACGAAGAGUUCAAGAGGCUCAUGGCUGUUCCCCUGGAGGAGAAAUUCAUGGCCCAGUUAGAUAUGCACUCCAGUGAGCUGAUCAGAGUCAAACGUUCCAAAGGAGGAGCAACACGCCAGAAGAUUGCUGGCAUCAUGCAGAUUUUG